rnacentral:lncRNA from 1 species
AUGAGUUUCUUGGUCAGGCUCCUCCAUCCGGGGCAGCACAUCCCCCACAUGGGCUCUCGGUCGCUGGUGUCACUGGGUUGUGCAGCUCGGACUGUGUUGCUUAGCAACGAAAUAACAAACAAGAACAGGCUGUCGAGUACUUCCAGGACUGCGCAGAAUUCCCUGGCCCUUCCGGCUCAGUACCCGCCCCCCAGGGACAGGAAUGGGACUCCAUCACCGACAGUUUGCUCCGCUUUUGAACUUCAGAUGGGUGGGAUGAGGCUGGGUGGACCAUUGACUCCGUCCGACUUGUUGCGCUCAUCAUGGCGUCCGUGAGAGGUCCCCGUUGUGUGUAGCUGGAGGAGUUGGAUUCCCUCUGUUCCCAGCAACAGAACUGUUAGGGCUUUGAACUUCAUCUGCUGCCUGGUUUCUCUGCCUCACCUUUGCCACUAGAGCUCCUGAUGGCUAUCCAUUCGAGCCCAAAUGAAGCUCCCCAAGGGUCUUUAUGUAUUGGCUCAUCUCCGCAAGUGGCUGGGGCUGCCCUAGCCUCUGUUCCAAGGACUCUUGGCCCAUUUUUCCCCCACUGGUCUGUGUGGCUAAGACCCUACAUCCCUUUUUCUGGCGCCACCUGAAUUAGGGUGUCACAGAGCCCAGGUGGCCAAGAUAGCCAUAGGCAUGAGAAUCUUGUUCCCUCCAGACCAUUUCAUUCCUUUCCAGUUAGUUCAAGUUCUUCGAAUUUUUUUCUUUUUUUUUUUUUUAAGAUUUUAUUUAUUUAUUUGACAGAUCACAAGUAGACAGAGAGGCAGGCAGAGAGAGAGAGAGAGAGAGAGGGAAGCAGGCUCCCUGCUGAGCAGAGAGCCCGAUGCGGGCCUUGAUCCCAGGACCCUGAGAUCAUGACCUGAGCCAAAGGCAGCGGCUUAACCCACUGAGCCACCCAGGUGCCCGAGUUCUUCGAAUUUUUUAAACUGUUUAUUUUGAAGUACGUUUACAGAAAAGUUGCAGUGAUGGUACAGAUUCUUCUCUACAUUUCACCCACAAUUCCCAAAUGUUAAUAUUUUGCGCAUUUGCUUUACCAUUCUUUCUCUCUAUGAUGUAGGAAAGAUGUUAGGGUUCAAAGGCAACAGCCAAGAAAAAAUCCUUGACACGUCUUUGAUGCAAAAAGAAUUUCAUUAAAGCACAGGGACAGGACCCAUGGGAAGAAAGAGCUGCCCUGAGAUCACGAGGAGUGGCCCCUUACAGACUUUCAAGUAGGGAAGAGGUUAGGGUAAGUCUCUCAGGAAUUUUAGAAACAAGGUUUCCGGAACCUUGAGGGAGUUAGCUAUCUGGAAAAGGUCAUUUAUUGCCAUCUAAUAAAACCUUAGUCAUGAGACUCUUCAGAGUCUCAUGCUUGGGUCAUAUGCUUGGGAGAUGAUUGCCAACAUGUAUCUUGGGGGAUUUAGAUAUGAAAGAAUUUCUAAAGGAAGUUUUAUAUGUGAAAGUAGACUCACAGGAUCCUGGGGGUCGGGCUGGGGUUACCUUUUGCCCUUAGCAGAGUAUUAACAUUGAGGCAGUUGAGUCCCUAGAGGAAUGUCACUCUGCCUGUUUCAAGGACUUGUCAGUGGGCUGCAGAGAGUAGGGAAAUUUAAGUUUUUCUUCUGUCUUUGUUUCCCAGAUCAUCCAUAUAUCAAUAAUUUGCGUACAUUAAUUUUUCUAAGCUGCUGGAGAAGAUAUUGUAGACAUUGUGCCUCUUUGCCCCUAAAUACUUCACUAUAUGUUUCUAUUUUUUUUAAAGGACAUUUUCAUACAUAACCAUGGUACAUUUAUCAAAAUGAGGAAAGCAGCCCCUGGAUGGUUCAGUCAGUUAAGCCUUGACUCUUGAUUUCAGCUCAGGUCAUGAACUCAGGGUCAUGAGAUUGAGCCCCAUGUCUGGCUCCAUGCUUGGUGGGGGGGGGGGUCUCCUUGGGAUUCUCUCUCUUCUUCUGCCCCUUGCAUGCCCGCACACACUCUCUUUCUAGAUAAAAAAUCUUGGGACACCAAGGGUGGCUCAGUCGGUUAAGUGUCUGCCUUCGGCUGAGGUCAUGAUCCCAGGGUCCUGGGAUCAAGUCCCACAUCGGACUCCCUGCUCAGUGGGGAAAUAGCUUCUCCCUCUGCCCGCUCCUCCCCCUGUCUGUGUGCUCCCUUUCUCUCUGACAAAUAAAUAAAUAAAUAAAACCUUUAAAAAACUUUUUAUAAACAAAUAAAUAAAAUCUUUUUAAAAAUGAGGAAAUUAACAUUGGCAUACCCGUAUUAUAGAACUACAGACCUCAUGAAAAUUCUGCCGGUCAGCUACUGAUGGGUGUGUUUGUGAAAGUCGCAGGAUUUUUCAAAUUAUUUUUUUAUUAUGGUAAAAUACAUAUUGCAUGAGAUUUAGCAUUUUAACCUUAACUUAAAAAUAUUCUCUAUAAUUUUUAAAGUUUUUAUUUUUGUUCCAGUUAGUUAACAUGCAGCAGUAUACUAGUUUCAGGUGUGCGAUAAAGUGACUGGACACUUCCGUACGUCACCCCGUGCUCAUCACGACAAGUGCUCUCCUCUCCUUCACCCCCGCCCCCUGUUUCCCCCACCUCCCCAACCUUUCCCCUCUGGUAACCGUCAGUUUGUUCUCCUUAGCUAAGAGUCUGUUUCUUGGUUUUCUUCUUUCUCUUUUUUUUUUCCUUUGCUCAUUUGUUUUGUUUCUUAAAUUCCACAUAUGAGUGAAAUCAUACCAUAUUUGUCUCUCUCUGACUGGCUUAUUUUGCCUAGCAUUAUACAUUUAUACUCACUAGCUCCAUCCAUGUGGUUACUAAUGGCAGGAUUUUACUCUUUCUUAUGGCUGAAUUUUACAUAUAUAUAUAUAUAAUCUCCACGUCUUUAGCCAUUGGUCAACUGAUGGAUGUCUGGGAUGCUUCCAUAUCUGGCUAUUGUAAAUAAUGCUGCUGUAAACAUAGGAGUACAUGUUUCCCUUUGAAUUAGUGUUUUUGUAUUCUUUGGGUAGUCUGAUGACUGGAUGGUAAGGUAGUUCUAUGUUUAACCUCCAUACUGUUUCCACAAUGCCUGUACCAGUGUGCACUCCCACCAACAGUGUACAAGUGUUCCUUUUCCUCCACCUCCUCGCCAACACCUGUUGUCCAUUAUCACGAUUUUUAAGCAUACAAUCCGUGGCAUUAAACUCAUUCACAGUGUUGUGCAGCCAUUACCACUGUCUUCAUCCAUGUGAGCUGCCAUGGUAAAAAUACAGUAGAUCACGUGGCCUACAAACAGAGACAUUUACUUCUCACAGGUCUAGAGGCUGCAAGUCCAAGAUCAAGGUGCGGACAAGUCCGGUGGCUGGCGAGGAGGCAUCGUGUCCUCACAUGGCAGAAGGGGCAAGGGAGCUCUCUGGGGUCUCUCUUAGAAGAAUACUAAUCUCGUUCACAAAGGCUCUGCCCUCAGGACCUACUCUCCUCUCAAAGGCUCUACCUCCAAACACCAUCACGUUGGGGAUGACGUUUCACUCUAUGAAUUUGGGGGCGCUGCAAACAUUCAGUCUCUAGGGAACACCAUCGACAUGCACACCAUCUAUCAUCAUCUCAACCCUGUACUCACUGAACAGUAACCCCAUUCCAACUUCUUCAGCCCCUGGAAACCACCAUCUCUUCUAUUUCUGAAUUUGGCAACUCUGAGUACUUCACAAAAGUGGAAUCCCGCAAUAUUUAUCCUUUUUGACUGGAUUAUUUCAUUUGGCAUAAGGUUAAGAUCCUCAAGAUUAAUCCACGUUGUAGCCUGACUAAUGUCCUUUGAAAAGAAAGGGGGGAAGAUACCAUUUUUCCCAGUCCAGGAUCCAGCAUCAAAUCCACAGGGCAGCUAGGUGUCAUGCCUCUUUAGUCCCUUCCAAUAAGGAAUGGUUUCUUAAUCUUUCUUUGUUGUUCAUGACAUGGGCAUUUUUAUAGGAUAUAGGCCAGUUAUUUUGUAGAAAUACCUUUCAAUCUGAUUUGUUUGCUAGCCCCUCACAAACUGAGGUUAUGAAUUUUUGGCAGGAGCAGCACCAAAAUGACAGGACCCUCAGUGGUAUUGUAUCAGAGGCUCACGUUGUCCAUUUGUCCCAUUACCGGUGACACUAAUUUUUAUUUUAUUUUAUUUAUUUAUUUGACAGACAGAGAUCACAAGAGAGGCAGGCAGAGAGAGAGGAGGAAGCAGGCUCCCCGCUGAGCAGAGAGCCCGAUGUGGGACUCGAUCCCACAACCCUGAGAUCAUGACCUGAGCUGAAGGCAGAGGCCCAACCCACUAAGCCACCCAGGCGCCCCGGUGACACGAAUUUUGAUCCUUUGGCCAAGGGGGCUGCCAGGUUUCUCCACUGGAAAGUUGUUACUUUCCUUUUACGGUUAGUAUCCUGCGAGGAGAGAGUAAGACUGUAUACAUAUCCCAUUUCUCAUUAAAUUCUCACCCACUACUUCAGCAUCCACUGGCGAUUCUCUCUGACACAAUUAAUGCUCUGAUGGCAAAUGGUAUCUCAACGUCCAUUACUCCUUUGACACUUACUAGUUGAUAUUCCACCAUAAGAAGAGUUUUCUCUUCUCCCCAAUUAUUUUUUCAUUUACAUAAUUAUAUCUGCCAGCACUUGUGGAUUUUUACUUUACCCUAUGAUUGGGAUAGGUAAAAUAAGAAUGGUCAUAAUUCAAUACUAUCGGUAUUGUUGGUCCAAUUAUCCCAGAUUUGUCGAAAGGGAGUUCCUCCAAGCUAACUUUCUUGGGUUCUUUGGCUAAGUUCCUGUCAUUCUUUGAGGACUUCCUCGCUGUCUCACAGAAUAUUACCAUCUGGUUUCAUUUGUAUCUUUCCUAUCUGAGCCCUGAAAUUAGCCAUUUAUCCAAAGAGCUCUGGCUUCUGUGAGGGAGAAUGAUAUUGAGAAGCCCAGAUCUGGGCAUCGGGCGAGCUUGGACACCCUCCUGGCUGGUGAAAUGACUGCGGCAUGUUCACCUGGACAGGCCAGCAUCAGCUCCACGACACUUUCGUUCUUCGCAAGUGCCUUCACAUACCGGUUCUUGUCCUCCGUUGACUGCUACAUUAUAGAU